GUUCUACUCCCUCCGUUCCAAAAUAGAUGACUCAACUUUGUACUAACUUUAAAGUUAGUACAAAGUUGAGUCAUCUAUUUUGGAACGGAGGGAGUAUAUU
rnacentral:pre_miRNA from 1 species